AGUCACUGACAUUAGAUACCCCCGUAGUCCAGGGUGUAAACGCUGCAGACUUGGUGUUGGGAACCCUUCGGGGGUGCUCAGUGCCGGAGAGAAGUUGUUAAGUCUGCUACUUGGGAGUACGUCCGCAAGGAUGAAACUUAAAGGAAUUGGCGGGGGAGCACCGCAACGGGAGGAGCGUGCGGUUUAAUUGGACUCAACGCCGAAAAACUCACCAGCAGCGACUGUUACAUGAAAGUCAGGUUGAUGACCUUACUAGAUUUUCAG
rnacentral:rRNA from 1 species